rnacentral:rRNA from 1 species
CCUACGGGAGGCAGCAGUGGGGAAUAUUGGGCAAUGGGCGCAAGCCUUACCCAGCAAUACCGCGUGAGUGAAGAAGGUCUUCGGAUUGUAAAGCUCUUUGAUCAGGGACGAACAGAUGACGGUUCCUGAAGAACAAGCCUCGGCUAACUACGUGCCAGCACCCGCGGUAAAACGUAGGGGGCGAGCGUUGUCCGGAAUGACUGGGCGUAAAGGGUGGGUAGGCGGCAUAAUAAGGUAGAAGGGGAAUACCCCGGGCUUAACUCGGGUGCUGCUUCUGAGACUGUUGAGCUUGAGUGCGGGAGAGGUUAAUGGAAUGCCUGGUGUAGCGGUGGAAUGCGUAGAUAUUAGGAGGAACACCGGAGGCGAAGGCGGUUAACUGGACCGUGACUGACGCUGAGGCACGAAAGUGUGGGUAGCAAACAGGAUUAGAUACCCUUGUAGUC